AGCGAACGCUGGCGGCAGGCCUAACACAUGCAAGUCGAACGAAGCCUUCGGGCUUAGUGGCGGACGGGUGAGUAACACGUGGGAACGUACCUUUUGGUUCGGAACAACUCAGGGAAACUUGAGCUAAUACCGGAUGAGCCCUUAGGGGGAAAGAUUUAUCGCCGAAAGAGCGGCCCGCGUUAGAUUAGCUAGUUGGUGAGGUAAAGGCUCACCAAUGCAACGAUCUAUAGCUGGUCUGAGAGGAUGAUCAGCCACACUGGGACUGAGACACGGCCCAGACUCCUACGGUAGGCAGCAGUGGGGAAUUUUGCGCAAUGGGCGAAAGCCUGACGCAGCCAUGCCGCGUGAAUGAUGAAGGUCUUAGGAUUGUAAAAUUCUUUUACCAGGGACGAUAAUGACGGUACCUGGAGAAAAAGCCCCGGCUAACUUCGUGCCAGCCGCCGCCGUAACAC
rnacentral:rRNA from 1 species